UCUCUCACACCUUUAAUGUGUGUGGAUGGGACUAAGGUUUUCUCAUUUCUUUCAGAUUGUGUGCCUCCGAGGUGAACGUCUGACUGAAGUGAAGGCGUGGCUGACUGUGGACCUACAAGGUGCUUCUUGGAGGUAAUAAAGAUACAUCAGUGAUGGUGAGGCCGUCACAUUACCAGCGGUUGUGGAUUUCUCAAUUCAACCUUUAUAUUGCAGACUCCACAUAAGGUAAAACACUUCCAUUCAGCAAUUGGUGUGCAGUGUCCAGAUUGUCAACAUUUAGUUCAGUAUGAUGUUACUUCUGGCCAGCUUAACCUGAGGAGAAAGUCAGUACAGUUCACGAUUAGAUUUUGAAAAGGAAACUGCAAAGUACGCAAGCUAUUGAUUUUUAAUAAUUUAAACAAGUGAAAUUUUUUCUAGCUUAACUUUCUGAAUUCAUGAUCAGUUAACUUGUGGCAAAUUUUAAGUUACAUUCUUUAAUAUAUUUGUUAUCCAAUAUAUAAACUAUAUAAUAGGUAACUUAAUAUUAAUU